GACGAACGCUGGCGGCGUGCUUAACACAUGCAAGUCGAACGGAAAGGCCCUGCUUUUGUGGGGUGCUCGAGUGGCGAACGGGUGAGUAACACGUGAGUAACCUGCCCUUGACUUUGGGAUAACUUCAGGAAACUGGGGCUAAUACCGGAUAGGAGCUCCUGCUGCAUGGUGGGGGUUGGAAAGUUUCGGCGGUUGGGGAUGGACUCGCGGCUUAUCAGCUUGUUGGUGGGGUAGUGGCUUACCAAGGCUUUGACGGGUAGCCGGCCUGAGAGGGUGACCGGCCCCAAUGGGCCUGAGGUACGGCCCAGACGCCUACGGGAGGCAGCAGUGGGGAAUCUUGCACAAUGGGCGGAAGUCUGAUGCAGCAACGCCGCGUGCGGGAUGACGGCCUUCGGGUUGUAAACCGCUUUCGCCUGUGACGAAGCGUGAGUGACGGUAAUGGGUAAAGAAGCACCGGCUAACUACGUG
rnacentral:rRNA from 1 species